AACCUGCUGAGUUUCCUGCGUUUGUGCUGCGCUGCUGGCCUGUGCUGAGCCCCUUCUGCUCUGCCCUCCCCUCUGGAGCCUCUGGGUGGAUUCAUAACGACCCGAAUUCGGUGAUGCUGCCAUGUCACACCGCUAGCUGAGCUCUGCAGUGUGUCUCAGCCUCCUGCUGUGAGACCUGAGAAGGCAGCCAGUGUCACCUUAGCUGUUACAUCAGGAGAGGACAGCGCGGAGUACCAACCUCAGCUCCUGCUGUAAAACCAGUGUGGAAAAUCAGUGUUGGAGCCACCUCAGUAGUAUUGGCAACAGGUCACUCACAAGUGCUUCAGCAGCAUGCAGAGCUCUGAGAGGCUGUAGAACAUGAGCACAGAGACCAGAGCAAUGGAACAGACUGGAAUACUAUUUUCCUUGGAUUUGCAAGGAAUAGACUUCUGCAGCUUUCAUAAAGAUAAGAGAUUCCUGGAAACAGACUUCUGCUGACUUUUGAUUAUUAUGAAACAGAGCAGUCCUGGAAAGAAACCGGGGUCUGAAAACACAUCAGGGCAAUGGGCAGCUCAAUAAAUACACUGUUGUUAUCUGUCAUUGUAGCCUUCACAAGCUCACUACUUGAGCUGUUGUAUACAUGGGAGGGGCUGCCAGACCUUUCCAGUGACAGCUUUCUGCAUUGUGAGAUGCUUUUACUUCUUGUGUCUUGAGGGUGUUCAGCUAAAGCAGGCUGGGAGUGACAUCAAGAUAGGCUCCUGCAUGGGUCUGUGAGGGGUCUGGAAGCAGUUUGUCUCAAGGAUUUUCCUCAUUUUGUUCUCUGCAAUGUACAGAAGAAUCAAGAAAAAACAAAAC
ensembl:lncRNA